rnacentral:rRNA from 1 species
GACAGAGGUGCCGAGCGUUAGGCGGAAUCACUGGGCUUAAAGCGUGUGUAGGCGGCUCGUUAAGUACCUUGUGAAAUCCCACGGCUUAACCGUGGAACUGCUGGGUAUACUGGCGAUCUUGAGGUGCUCAGGGGCGAGCGGAACAGAUGGUGGAGCGGUGAAAUGCGUAGAUAUCAUCUGGAACGCCUGCGGUGAAAACGGCUCGCUGGGAGCAAUCUGACGCUGAGACACGAAAGCCAGGGGAGCGAACGGG